rnacentral:rRNA from 1 species
CAGGCCCGCGGGUAAUACGGAGGGUGCGAGCGUUCACUCCGGAAAUUACUGGGGGCGGUAAAGCGGCGCGUAGGGCGGGCUUGGUCAGUCUGAUGUGGAAAGCCCCUGGGGGCUUAACCCUGGGGAACUGGCAUUGGGAAACUGCCGAGCUAGAGUGUGGGAGAGGGGUGUGGAAUUUCCGGUGUAGCAGUGAAAUGCGUAGAGAUGCGGGAAGGAACACCAGUGGCGAAGGCGGCAGCCUGGACCAACACUGACGCUGAGUGGCGAUG